GGUCCCUUAGUUCAAUGGAUAGAAUAUAAGAUUCCGGUUCUUAAGAUAGGGGUUCGAGUCCUCUAGGGAUCA
rnacentral:tRNA from 1 species